GGUUAAGCGACUAAGCGUACACGGUGGAUGCCCUGGCAGUCAGAGGCGAUGAAGGACGUGCUAAUCUGCGAUAAGCGUCGGUGAGGUGAUAUGAACCGUUAUAACCGGCGAUUUCCGAAUGGGGAAACCCAGUGUGUUUCGACACACUAUCAUUAACUGAAUCCAUAGGUUAAUGAGGCGAACCGGGGGAACUGAAACAUCUAAGUACCCCGAGGAAAAGAAAUCAACCGAGAUUCCCCCAGUAGCGGCGAGCGAACGGGGAGGAGCCCAGAGCCUGAAUCAGUGUGUGUGUUAGUGGAAGCGUCUGGAAAGGCGCGCGAUACAGGGUGACAGCCCCGUACACAAAAAUGCACAUGCUGUGAGCUCGAUGAGUAGGGCGGGACACGUGGUAUCCUGUCUGAAUAUGGGGGGACCAUCCUCCAAGGCUAAAUACUCCUGACUGACCGAUAGUGAACCAGUACCGUGAGGGAAAGGCGAAAAGAACCCCAGCGAGGGGAGUGAAAAAGAACCUGAAACCGUGUACGUACAAGCAGUGGGAGCCUCUUUAUGGGGUGACUGCGUACCUUUUGUAUAAUGGGUCAGCGACUUAUAUUCUGUAGCAAGGUUAACCGAAUAGGGGAGCCGAAGGGAAACCGAGUCUUAACUGGGCGUUAAGUUGCAGGGUAUAGACCCGAAACCCGGUGAUCUAGCCAUGGGCAGGUUGAAGGUUGGGUAACACUAACUGGAGGACCGAACCGACUAAUGUUGAAAAAUUAGCGGAUGACUUGUGGCUGGGGGUGAAAGGCCAAUCAAACCGGGAGAUAGCUGGUUCUCCCCGAAAGCUAUUUAGGUAGCGCCUCGUGAAUUCAUCUCCGGGGGUAGAGCACUGUUUCGGCAAGGGGGUCAUCCCGACUUACCAACCCGAUGCAAACUGCGAAUACCGGAGAAUGUUAUCACGGGAGACACACGGCGGGUGCUAACGUCCGUCGUGAAGAGGGAAACAACCCAGACCGCCAGCUAAGGUCCCAAAGUCAUGGUUAAGUGGGAAACGAUGUGGGAAGGCCCAGACAGCCAGGAUGUUGGCUUAGAAGCAGCCAUCAUUUAAAGAAAGCGUAAUAGCUCACUGGUCGAGUCGGCCUGCGCGGAAGAUGUAACGGGGCUAAACCAUGCACCGAAGCUGCGGCAGCGACGCUUAUGCGUUGUUGGGUAGGGGAGCGUUCUGUAAGCCUGUGAAGGUGUGCUGUGAGGCAUGCUGGAGGUAUCAGAAGUGCGAAUGCUGACAUAAGUAACGAUAAAGCGGGUGAAAAGCCCGCUCGCCGGAAGACCAAGGGUUCCUGUCCAACGUUAAUCGGGGCAGGGUGAGUCGACCCCUAAGGCGAGGCCGAAAGGCGUAGUCGAUGGGAAACAGGUUAAUAUUCCUGUACUUGGUGUUACUGCGAAGGGGGGACGGAGAAGGCUAUGUUGGCCGGGCGACGGUUGUCCCGGUUUAAGCGUGUAGGCUGAUUUUCCAGGCAAAUCCGGAAAAUCAAGGCUGAGGCGUGAUGACGAGGCACUACGGUGCUGAAGCGACAAAUGCCCUGCUUCCAGGAAAAGCCUCUAAGCAUCAGGUAACAUCAAAUCGUACCCCAAACCGACACAGGUGGUCAGGUAGAGAAUACCAAGGCGCUUGAGAGAACUCGGGUGAAGGAACUAGGCAAAAUGGUGCCGUAACUUCGGGAGAAGGCACGCUGAUAUGUAGGUGAAGCGACUUGCUCGUGGAGCUGAAAUCAGUCGAAGAUACCAGCUGGCUGCAACUGUUUAUUAAAAACACAGCACUGUGCAAACACGAAAGUGGACGUAUACGGUGUGACGCCUGCCCGGUGCCGGAAGGUUAAUUGAUGGGGUUAGCGGCAACGCGAAGCUCUUGAUCGAAGCCCCGGUAAACGGCGGCCGUAACUAUAACGGUCCUAAGGUAGCGAAAUUCCUUGUCGGGUAAGUUCCGACCUGCACGAAUGGCGUAAUGAUGGCCAGGCUGUCUCCACCCGAGACUCAGUGAAAUUGAACUCGCUGUGAAGAUGCAGUGUACCCGCGGCAAGACGGAAAGACCCCGUGAACCUUUACUAUAGCUUGACACUGAACAUUGAGCCUUGAUGUGUAGGAUAGGUGGGAGGCUUUGAAGUGUGGACGCCAGUCUGCAUGGAGCCGACCUUGAAAUACCACCCUUUAAUGUUUGAUGUUCUAACGUUGGCCCGUAAUCCGGGUUGCGGACAGUGUCUGGUGGGUAGUUUGACUGGGGCGGUCUCCUCCUAAAGAGUAACGGAGGAGCACGAAGGUUGGCUAAUCCUGGUCGGACAUCAGGAGGUUAGUGCAAUGGCAUAAGCCAGCUUGACUGCGAGCGUGACGGCGCGAGCAGGUGCGAAAGCAGGUCAUAGUGAUCCGGUGGUUCUGAAUGGAAGGGCCAUCGCUCAACGGAUAAAAGGUACUCCGGGGAUAACAGGCUGAUACCGCCCAAGAGUUCAUAUCGACGGCGGUGUUUGGCACCUCGAUGUCGGCUCAUCACAUCCUGGGGCUGAAGUAGGUCCCAAGGGUAUGGCUGUUCGCCAUUUAAAGUGGUACGCGAGCUGGGUUUAGAACGUCGUGAGACAGUUCGGUCCCUAUCUGCCGUGGGCGCUGGAGAACUGAGGGGGCUGCUCCUAGUACGAGAGGACCGGAGUGGACGCAUCACUGGUGUUCGGGUUGUCAUGCCAAUGGCACUGCCCGGUAGCUAAAUGCGGAAGAGAUAAGUGCUGAAAGCAUCUAAGCACGAAACUUGCCCCGAGAUGAGUUCUCCCUGACUCCUUGAGAGUCCUGAAGGAACGUUGAAGACGACGACGUUGAUAGGCCGGGUGUGUAAGCGCAGCGAUGCGUUGAGCUAACCGGUACUAAUGAACCGUGAGGCUUAACCUU
rnacentral:rRNA from 1 species